rnacentral:rRNA from 1 species
GAUGAACGCUGGCGGCGUGCCUAACACAUGCAAGUCGAACGGAGUUGUCACCAUGAAGUUUUCGGAUGGAUUGGUAACAACUUAGUGGCGGACGGGUGAGUAACGCGUGGGUAACCUGCCUCAUACUGGGGGAUAACAGCUGGAAACGGCUGCUAAAACCGCAUAAGAUCGCAUCACCGCAUGGUGAAGCGGUUAAAUAUCGAAAGAUAGGUAUGAGAUGGGCCCGCGUCUGAUUAGCUAGUUGGUGAGAUAAGAGCCCACCAAGGCGACGAUCAGUAGCCGGCUUGAGAGAGUGACCGGCCACAUUGGGACUGAGACACGGCCCAAACUCCUACGGGAGGCAGCAGUGGGGAAUAUUGCACAAUGGGGGAAACCCUGGAUGCAGCGACGCCGCGUGAGUGAAGAAGUGCUUCGGCAUGUAAAGCUCUAUCAGCAGGGAAGAAGAUGACGGUACCUGACUAAGAAGCCCCGGUAACUACGUGCC